rnacentral:rRNA from 1 species
AUUGAACGCUGGCGGCAGGCCUAACACAUGCAAGUCGAACGGUAACAGGAAACAGCUUGCUGUUUCGCUGACGAGUGGCGGACGGGUGAGUAAUGUCUGGGAAACUGCCUGAUGGCGGGGGAUAACUACUGGAAACGGUAGCUAAUACCGCAUAACGUCGCAAGACCAAAGAGGGGGACCUUCGGGCCUCUUGCCAUCGGAUGUGCCCAGAUGGGAUUAGCUAGUAGGUGGGGUAACGGCUCACCUAGGCGACGAUCCCUAGCUGGUCUGAGAGGAUGACCAGCCACACUGGAACUGAGACACGGUCCAGACUCCUACGGGAGGCAGCAGUGGGGAAUAUUGCACAAUGGGCGCAAGCCUGAUGCAGCCAUGCCGCGUGUAUGAAGAAGGCCUUCGGGUUGUAAAGUACUUUCAGCGGGGAGGAAGGGAGUAAAGUUAAUACCUUUGCUCAUUGACGUUACCCGCAGAAGAAGCACCGGCUAACUACGUG